rnacentral:siRNA from 1 species
GCUGGUGGUGGUGGUGGUGGUA